rnacentral:lncRNA from 1 species
AUGUUCCAUUCAUUGUUAAUUAUCCCUAAUUUCUUGGGUGUUUGGUUUCUUUCUCAGUUUGUCUUCCUUUCACUGACAAGUAAGACCAAUCAUCUUUUUUCUCGUAUGACUAUUUUUUUUUUUUUUUUUUUUUUGCAGAAGAUGGCACUGUUUCCUAGAAAAGUGAGUGAAGUUACCCUUGACCAAUUAAGGAAGGAGAAAAGACCCUUCCAGAUGAUGCAGCAAGUUACCCCUGGAGUGCGCCCUCUGCAGCCUCACCUGGUCUGUCCAGGUAAGAUUCCAGUGAUGUCUCACAAACCAGCAUCACACUGCCUGGGACUCUAUGGAGCAGAAAUGCCUGUCCAUUUUCUGGUCACUCUUGUGAAGAGGAUGGACAUUUUGUGAUAGAUUUUCCCUAUGAGGAGAGUCCAACACCAGCCCUCCAAAAUUUAGGUGUGGAAAACAGAUUUCAGUCCUGUAAGGAGAGAAAAGUCAUAUGCAGAUCAUCUGACUCUUCUCCACAAGGGAAGAAAAGCAGGCAGCAUAGCACUCACUUGAUGCUGUUCCGACUCAGAGGAAAACCAGUGGGAGAAAACACACUCUGGGAAUACCAUCUUUUUUUGGAGGGCAGGGGUUGUCACCUUUAAAUUGUAAUAAUGUACUGUCACAUCUGAUCUAAUAUCAGUUAUAAAUUCCCCUGGAAAGAACCUCCCAUCGCACCCACUUCAUUAAAGCAUUCUGCUAAUUUGCCUUCCCUGAGAAAAUGUUUCCAGGGAAAAAGGUGAGAAUCAUCCCUAUAGCCCAGCAGUAGGCUGGACUGGGUGUUACCAGCAACCAUAUAAAUCCUUUAAGGACGUGAUUGUCCUCUUUUCACGAGAGAAUGAAUUAGCAAAAUCAAUCUGCAGGGGUUGCAACUGUUUUUCUUGGGGCAGGUAAAACUGAGAGCACUGUUAUUGCUUAUCUCUCUGCUUUCUAGCUGUGAUGGGAGGAGGGGGAGAGCAGAGUGUUCUAUAGCUGAUUUGAAAUUUUCUGUCAUUUGUGUGAGUGUACUGAUUUUUCUCAAUCAUGCAUUCGUUUUAACAGUCAUUUGUUGAGUGUCGAUGAUAUGUCUUGUAUUUGCUGAGGUGCUGGAGAUUCAACAAGCCCUAAACACACCCAGUUCCUCCUUCACGGAGCCCACUUUCUCACAGCCCCGCCAGAGGCAGAGAGGAACCCAGGCUGACCCGCUUCUCACAGUUGGGUUGUGGGGACGGAUAUGCAAGGAAAGGAAACAUGUGACAGUGAGAUUGGACACAGCUGGGGAAAGGACAGAAAAGAGCUGGGGUGGGAGAGGGCUGGGAGGGACUCUGGGUGGGAAAGCAUCAGUGGAACUUGGGGUCACAUGGAGGCCACAUGCAGCAUGGUGUGCCAUGUGAUCCCUUCCAGAGCUUUUUAAAAAUAGUCCAAAAGAUAAAAACUAAAUGCUACUUGAGGAUACAUUUCUUGUGAAAAGUGAUGACAGGACUAGCACUUGCACUUUAAUGGCUGUGAGAAGAUGAGUGUGGGCAGCACACCUGGGUACCAGCCCCGCCAUGUGCGUGUGCACAUAGUGAGCUCAGAUGUUCCUCUCCGGGCCUUUAGAGAUAGAUCUUUUUCACUCUUCCUUCCUUCCUUCCUCUCUCCCUACAGUUAGUUUACAUUAUCUCUACAAAGAGAAACAGGAUCUUAAAACUGUUUACAGUUUUGCUUCCUAUCACUUUAAGAUUUCUAUUAUGGUUCUCAUUUUUCCCUCUCAUUGGACUUUUGGGUCUUGUAACUGUUUCUGAUUUCAGAAAUGCGGGUUUUGUUGUUGUUUUGCAUGUCAUUUUGUUCUGUUUCUUUGUUUACUAGCAGGGGUUUUUCCUAAUUUAGAUUCUCUGUGGAAGUUCAAAAUUGCUCUUUGCUCAGCGGUAUUCAGUUUGGGACCCACAACUUAAGGUGAAUUUGGAGAAUUUUUUUUUUAAUCCAGAAAAAGAAAAAAAUGCUUAUGGGGUGAGGAAGUAAGAAUUAUAGUGAAAGAGUGUAGGAGAUGAGAUCAUUUCAGCAACAGACAGCCAAAGAUGUCUUGUUUAUUUAAUCCACUGGCUUCAUACUUGGGUCUCUACUCAAGAAAUUCAAAUGAAUUUGGAACAGUUCUCCUUGGAAUUCUGGUUAGAACUAUUCUCACAAACUUUUAAAAACUCUUGUUCCUUCAUCCUCAUCUAUGUAAAACUAGAGUAUAAGUAUCCAACACUGUUAUCUUGGAUACAAAGUAUGCAGUUCACAUGAAUGAAUAAUGACUCAAAUGUCUUUAUAGAGAGAAAAGGCUGAUAACCAGCUGUUUUUAGUUUGUACUCAUAAAUAAAUAAGAGGACACUGUUCCAAAUUGUAGCUUAGAAUCUCUUGGUAUUAUACAAUGUGGAAUUACCGACAAUUAUGUUUGUUCAGUAUUAGAAGGGGCCAUCGUUUUUUUCUGGAAGGAAACAAUGUGAGCCAUUCAGCAUAUCCCCCAGAAGCUGCAAAUAAUCUUUUUUGUUUUGUUUUUAAUUGCUUUAAAAAAUUUUUAAAUUGACAUAUAGUUGAUUUACAGUGUUGUAUUUCUGCUGUACAGCAAAGUGACUCAGUUAUGUGUAGAUAUAUACAUAUAUAUAUAUUCCUUUUCAUAUUCUUUUCAUUAUGAGUUAUGCAAAUAACCUCAUUGCAGGAAACUGGUCUUUCCCUGAGGGUCUAACUCUGGCAUUUGCCUUGUGGGGAAAAAAUUGUUAGUCUUCUGCCCUUUUUCAACUUUUUAAGGUGUUUUCCUUCAAUAUUUUUAUCAAUGUAAAUUUUUUUAACAUUCAUAAGAGGGGCAUAUUUUUUGUGCAUGUAAAGUUCAUUUAGAAUUGUGUACAUCUUAAAUUAAUAUCUGUCUAUAAAAUUAAUAUUUAGAUUUCAAUAAUAAGCUGAGAAUAGUCACCUAUAUUUUUUAUCUGAUUAAAAUUCAGUGAACCGCUGUGACCCAGUGCAAGUGAGAGACCUGAAGUUUAUGCUUCAUUGGCUGAGGCUCACCCAGAUGUGGUACCCCGGUGAAGGACUGGAUAUAAGUCCUGGUUUCCCAGAAACCCCCAGGUUAUGCUUGCCAUUCUUGUUUAAAUUUUAAUAAUUCCCCUUUUCUUUUGAAAAAAAACCAGUCCUGGUUUGCAUGACAAAUUAUAUGGUCUUUUGAUUUAUGUUGGACACUCUGUGGCCACAAAAACUGGGCCUGAAUAGGAAGCGGUCAGCCCUAACUUUAACGUCUUCAUUGCCUUUCUGCUCCAGCCAUCAGGCGGGGCGCGGGGAGGGUAAAAUCCCUGAGCUGAUUAUAAUGGGUUGCAAGGAAGGUUCCUAUUGAUCAUCGUUUCUAUCUUCUUAAAGGGUAUUGUUUUGACCUUAAUUUAUUAUAUAAAUGUGACUUAUAAAUAUUCAAUGAACUAAAGUUGAUGACAUUAGACUUCCUUAAAGAGUCCAAUUUACAAUUUAGUUAUUUAAAUUCCCCCAAACAUAUAAAGAUGUACCUUUGACUUUAAGAUUACUUAUUUAAAACCAAUUAUUGAAUUACCUACUUUAAAAUGGAAUUACAAGGCAAAUCUGUCAGAAUCUCAAUAUGCACAAAAUGUAAUUUAGAAUGAAUCAGUGUUGAAUUUUAAACAGAAUUUGCAUAUGUAGCUUGCUUUAUUUCAUCAACGGUUUACCUCUAAAUCUUACCAAGGUUGGAAGUACUUAUUAAGGCAAUGGUUUUAUCUUUUUUUAAAAAUUUAAAGAUAUUAUCAACAUACUGGUGGACUUAACUAUCCCAGCAGAAAUAGGUACAUCUAGAAAAUGGGUAGGCAUGUUUUUCAGUUACCUAUGCUGGGUAACAAACACUCCCCAACUUGGGGGUGUGAAACAACUAUUUUAUUAUGCUCCCUGGUUCUGUUACAGGCAUAGCUUAUCUCUGCUACAUGACAUCAUGAUGUCUGGAGACCUCAGCUCUGGGGACUGGAAUGGUGGCAGGUGCAGGAAUCACGUGGUCAGACACUGACUCUUGUGUCUGAGUCUGGUUAGACUCAGGCUGGGUCUCAGGCUGAGUUCAGCUGGGAUGGUUGAUCAGAUACCCAUACACAGUCCCUUCCUAUGGCUUGGGCUUCUCUCAACGUGGCAGCUGAGUUCUGGGAGGAAGCAUCCUGAGGGGGAGCAAGCAUUUCAAAGGAUCUAGGUAGGAGCUGCAUGGGCUUUAUGACAUAGCCUCAAACAUCACAUGGCAUUAAUUUGUGGUAUAUACUGUUGCUCAAAGCAGUUAGCCCCCCAUAUUGAAGGGAUUCUCUCAAUAGCAAGAAUGUCAAAGAAUUUGUAGACAUUAAAAAAAAAAAAAA